rnacentral:rRNA from 1 species
UCCGAAGGGGGCUAGCGUUGCUCGGAAUCACUGGGCGUAAAGGGUGUGUAGGCGGGUCUUUAAGUCAGGGGGUAAAUCCCGAGGCUCAACCUCGGAACUGCCUUUGAUACUGCAAAUCUCGCGUCCGGAAGAGGUGAGUGGAAUUCCUAGUGUAGAGGUGAAAUUCGUAGAUAUUAGGAAGAACACCAGUGGCGAAGGCGGCGCACUGGCACAUAUCUGACGCUCAGGCGCGACAGCGUGGGGAUCAAACAGG